CUUUCAACCGUUCGAUCUCCCUCACGAUCUCGCCGUCCUCCAAAUCUUGACCGUACAUCCCACGCGCGUGUUUCCUACGUGCUAUGUUCCUUAGCAAGAUCCGUUGAGAGAAGUCGAGAGGAUCAACGACUAUGAAGCUGUUAUGAGCAGGUCCCCAAGUGAUGAGCCAAUCGGUCGAAGGAUCGUUGACCAUCUGAUAAGUUUUCACUAUGAAAGGUGCGAUCACGUUGUUGGUGUUGGCGUUACUGUUGUCGUCCUCCAUAUCUAUUUUUUUUUUCUUUCUCUUUCUCUCUCUCUCUCUCGUUUUUUAUCUCUUUAUAUGUUUGUUGUUCGUAAAGAAAUUAAGGAGCAAGCUGGUGGGUUUAUAUAAACAAAAAAAAUAGGAUCUUAUAUUGUGAAAAAUAGUAAGUUUAAGUGGUUGUGACAGUGAUUGACGUGGCUUGCUUUUUGUGAUAACGUGGCGACUUCGUGUUUUCCU